UACGUAGGGUGCGAGCGUUAAUCGGAAUUACUGGGCGUAAAGCGUGCGCAGGCGGUUUUGUAAGCCAGAUGUGAAAUCCCCGGGCUCAACCUGGGAAUGGCAUUUGGGACUGCAAGGCUGGAGUUUGGCAGAGGAGACUGGAAUUCCCGGUGUAGCAGUGAAAUGCGUAGAUAUCGGGAGGAAUACCGAUGGCGAAGGCAGGUCUCUGGGCUAUAACUGACGCUCAUGCAACGAAAGGACCAGUGGGGGAGUCAAACAACGGG
rnacentral:rRNA from 1 species